CGGAGCGGCUGCGUGAGUACCAGAGCGGUUUCUGCAGACGCAGCGCGCUCCCCCAUCUCCAUCUUCCCUGUCUCCCUGGCCCGGCUGAACCUCUUAAAUUUUCUGCCUGAGCCCCACAGUCGCCCUUCGGUUUUUGAACGUAUGCAUUCCGGCUACGUAAACAUGCCUCCUGCGCGGUUAGGGGGGCUCUGGCUGCUCUUUCCUCGAAGACCCCAGACAUCUGGACCAGCCCCAAGUGGAUGGCCUCCAUUGAGUCCUGCCCAACCCUGUUUUCACAUCCUGGACUCUGGUCUACCGGUGGAACAUCCAGUCAGUGAGGAGUGCUAGAGAUGCUGCCAAUAGCCUGAGGAACUGGAUCUCUGAGAGCUGGAGGCCUGGGCAAAGGUCACACAGCCCCAAGGACAAGAGAAACUUCUGAAUUAUCUCUUAGCAGUUAAGUCCAAAGCACUGAAGUAUUUCUGCUCUGAAAGCAGGAUGGAUCAGAAGAGGAUACUGCCAUAUUGCCCUGAGCAUGCUCCAUCUCCUCUGGUCCUGGAAAUGACCAGGUCUGGACCAGGUCUGGGACUUGGAUGGGAGAGUGGAGGAGAGAUACAACUGUAUACACCUUUGUUCAUGGCCUGCCACAAUGUCCAUGCUCAACCAAACACAGGAAAUCUUCCUGAAGUCUCUUUUCCUGGUACACCCUGCUCCCCCUGCUUGGGUUAUAGUUACAUAAAACAUCCACAAAGCCAAAAACAACGAUGGAUUAUUUGGAGGUCUGCACUUGUUACUGGAUCUGUUACUUAGGUUGUUUGACACCUUGGUUAUUGCCUCUUUCCAAAGUCUCUCCCAGCCUUGAAUAUCUCUGGGUCUAGGCAUCUGCCCUCAGACUCUCCUCCCUAGCCCAGGUUUCUGCCUCUGACUUCACCUCGGCAAGAGACAUGGAACUGUUUUUUCUGGGGUGCAACCAGGCAAAAUUCUGACUCACGGCAGGCUCGUCUCUGAAAAGAAGGAAGAAAUAGCAGUGACAAGAACAGCUACUGAGGGGAGCUGGAAAUACUUGCUGAUCUGAGGUGACUUGAGGAGAUUCAGUCUGGGAAGGCCAUCAAACCGUACCUCUGUGAUAAGCACAUUUCUUCAUAUGUACCCUACACAUUAGUGUUUUCAAAGAUCCAGAAGCCACCGCUAGUGGUUCACACCUGUAUUGCCAACACGCCAGAGCCCAAGGCAAGAAGAUGGCAAGGCUGAGAUCAGCCUCAGCUAUACAGCAAGCACCAAGUCAGCCUGGGCUUUAUAGCA